CAUAUACAAAAAAAAUUAAAUUAAAAAAAUGGAACAAUACGGAGCAGAUUAGCAUGGCCCCUAUGUAAGGAUGACGUGCAAAUUCAUGAAAUGUUCCAUCAUACA